CAGAGCUUUCUUCAAACUUCGUUGUCGCCUGGACAACUCCUCCUCAACACAAUUCAAACAAGUACAAGCCGAACAUGCAGCUGCAGCAGAGAAACUACUUGAUGUGUUCAACUCAACAGAUCUGCUCUGAGACGGCCAGACCAUGGAGAGAGUUAUUGCUGCCACACACCAUAUGGCCUUACUACUUUUUCUCUGGAAAGGAAAAUUUAAAAGUUUUAAACCACCCAUUAUUUUUGGUAUAUUUUACUUCCAAAGGGCCAGACCUUCUAAUCUGUUACAGUGGUCUUAUUAAACGGUUCUCCAA